AUCCAGCUGACCAGUUCCAAAUAGGACGAAACGCGCAUCCUGGAU
rnacentral:hammerhead_ribozyme from 1 species